UUUUUACCAAUUGUUUAUUUCUUACAGAGAGCAUAAAACAAACAUUACAAUAUUUUUUUUUUAUAUACAAAAAAAUCAUUUGGUUGGAGUUUGCUAAUUUGGGACAAAUUAAGCAAAAAUGAUCAAUAAGUGUACAAACUUAAAAGCUGUUUUGCUUUUUUGUUUUGCUUUUUUGUUUGCUUUCUAUUUUCCACUGCAUUUCUUUGUUUGUUUGUUUUUGUGUGCGCUUUUUUGUUGUUAUUUUGUUUGUUUUUGCAUUGCUCUUCUUUGAUUUUUGUUUGUUUUCUGUUUUCCACUGCAUUAGUUUUUUAUUUAUUUUUGCAUUGUUCUUUGGGGGGGUGGGGGGCGCAAUUGUUUAUUUCUAGCAAAAAAAAUAAAUAAAUAAAAAGUAUAGACAAACUUGCACACUUUGCCUAAAUUUAUAAUUCUAUUAGAGCCCUAGUUGGGGAUCAAAAGCCAAAUGUUUUUGUGUUAGUAAUUAAAAUAGGUUUAACAGUAUUAUGAUGCUUUUGUGUGAUAUCAUAAAAUCAUUUGAUGUUUUUAAUACUAGCUAUGAAACAAUUUUAUAUCGCUUAUCUAAUAGUUUACUCCUAGGAACAGUUUUUUUUGUUUGUUUUUUUUGUAUUUAUUUUUUGAAAAAGACCAUGUACCCUGUUUAUGGAAAGUGCCACAUGCUCAUCACUCUAUCAGGGCAUUUUAUUUUUCCCUUACUGAUCAGUCAUCGCUUAUAUUCCUGUCAAAAUGCAUUUUAAAGGGAUUACAUUCCGCUUGGCUUUUGGGAAUGAGAAUAUGAUUGUGUGGGCUACAUGUAGCAUCCUGUACAGAUACAAUUAAAGACAGCAGCUACUUUUUGCAUCGCAUUAGUGCCUCUAUAAGACCAGUGUUCGAUCGCUAGUGCUGAACGCUCCCAUCUUUUGCUCUCAAGAAUGACAAUAUGCUAGUGUCGGUGCAUUCCAAUGAAAGGCAUGGCCUGAAAUGCGUCCAAUAAACUUGUAGGGAAAAUAUCUUCUGUUGCCAUGCUGCUAUGCUUAUAAGGUGAUUUAAGAACAUUUUCUUGCGGAAUCGUAUUACUGAAUCAGUUUUGAAUCACUUUACGUGUGUGUUUUAGUGAUGAAUGUGCAUAUAUAUCUCUCUCUUUCAGUGCUGUGUCAGUCUAGCGCAUCUCAUGUUGCAUUUUACGGUGCGCUGUAGUAUUUGAAAACAAUUGUAUUUUACAAUUCUGAUACUAAUUGGCUGGAUGGGUGUUGUGCCAAGUGCCAUUCAACAUUCAGGGAUUAAAAAAAACAAGUAUUGCUGUAAAACUGUCAAUAUCUGAAGGUCGUGAUUUGAGGACAAACAACUGGUUUACAAAUGUUUUGCUUGAGGCUGUAAACAAACAAACUGAACUUUUAGCACCUGAAAUGGCAUUGUAAAUGUAUGUGUGACGGAGUGACAGAAACUUGAGCAUUUUUCACUCAACGUAUGAAGAUGACAUCCAUGCCAGUUUGUUUUACAAUCAGCUGCUGCUGGAAAUGUUUUGUGACCGGCAAAAGUGUUUGUAUCUUGCACAUUCUCAUAGCUUCCACUGGCCAACUGUAAAUACCAAAUAAAUGACUUUUAAAGGG
ensembl:lncRNA